GGACGCUGAGAGGAAAGUCCAGACCCUGGAGGAGGAGCUGAAGACCAAGAAGACCGAGCUCAAUGAUGAAAGGACCAGAAGGGAGAACGCUGAAAAAGAUGUUGCGAGCCUAAAGAAACAGCUGGAGACUCAGCAGGGCUCGAUCACAGAAUUUGCCUUUGAAGUCGACCCAUUAGGCAGAUUUUUAUCCGUCUGCAAAACACAUCCAAUAAGGACCAACUACUAGAAGACUGGGAAUUAUGUGUAAAGAUCAACAACGCAAAACACAUCGGAUAUAGUUUUGAGCACUCAUUCAAACUCAGGCCUGGAAAAACUGUCACUAUGUGGGUUGGUAAUUGUGGUCCACAUUAUCCUCCCUCUGACCUGCAGUGGUUGGACCUGACGUCUUGGCGCAUUGGAGACAAACUGGAGGUCACUCUUUUCAGCCUCACAGAGAUCCGACAUCAAGAUAUUUUCACGUUCAGUUAAUUAAUGACCUCCUUUUUCUUGCUGUCAAACUUUAUUUUUCUUUAGCUCCUCUUACUUUUUAGCUCCUUUUAUCACCAACAGCAAAGAAACAUGAAGGAACGACAAGAACCAGAGCUUCCUGUGAAACCACACGUUUAAUUUUGCUCAGGAAAUAUGAAAUAACAUCACUUUGUGAGGUGGUACAUUCAACAAGUAUUUUGAAACGUGGUACAUAUUUGCGUUUGUUUUAUUGCUACUUUUUAUACAUUUUACAGAAGAAAAACAACAAAAUGACAAAAGAUAAAAUUCAUUCAAAUGAAAUCAAAGUAUUAGCUGAUGUAACUCUUUUACAUCUUUAUUUGGUUGUUUACAUGAUGAUGUCAUAUUUAUAGUAGAUCUUCACCGAUCUUUGUUAUUCUUUAUUCUGUGUAGUCUGAUUCAAUUCAUGUUGUCAGUUUAGGAUACUCUCCUCAUCGCUCCUGUAAAACUGAAAAAAAGACACCAAGUUGGUUGAUUUCAACCACGUGGAAGUAUUUUCAAAUGUCUGAUACUGAUGUAUGUUGUUGACAACAUUUACUUUAAAAAAUAUCAAC